UACGUUGGUGGCGAGCGUUGUCCAGAAUUACUGGGUGUAAAGGGAGCGCAGGCGGGGGAUUAAGUUGGAUGUGAAAUGCCAGGCUCAACCUGGGAGCUGCAUCCAAAACUGGUUCUCUUGAGUGAAGUAGAGGUAGGCGGAAUUCCUAGUGUAGCGGUGAAAUGCGUAGAUAUUAGGAGGAACACCAGUGGCGAAGGCGGCCUACUGGGCUUUAACUGACGCUGAGGCUCGAAAGCGUGGGGAGCAAACAGG
rnacentral:rRNA from 1 species